CUCAACCCAGCUCCCCCUGAGGGAAAUGGGAAUCACAACAUUGACUUCAGGGGAAAACAUUUCUCCAGUGUGGGCAGCUGUGUUCCAGAAGGCUGAGGAACUGAAAAAAUGAACACUAUCAGAGGAAAACUGUGUGUUUUGAUCCAGCAUGAGCUAAGAAAACUUUAACAAGGCCAGAGGCUUUUCACCCAAAAGGCGAAUGCAGUUGUUGGAAGCUUCUUCCAGGGUGGAUCCUUCUGCCACAUCAAACAGCCUGCUCACAAGAAACUUCUCGUUGGAGCUG